rnacentral:lncRNA from 1 species
GUCUGUGUUCACACUGGCACUACGCUUCUACACUGAUAACUUGACCUUCUCUCUCUCUCUCUCUCUCUCUCUUUAUCUCUUCAUCUCUGUCUUUGUCUCUGUAUCUCAUCCUCUCUCUUGUCUUUAUUUUUCUCUUUCUCUCUAGUCUUUCUCUCUCUCUGUCCCUGUCUCUCUGUCUCUUUCUCUCUAGUCUAUCUUUCUCUCUCUCUCUCUGUCCCUCUCUCUCUCUCUCUCUCUCCUCUCUCUCUCUCUCUCUCAGUGCAUGCUGGGAGUUUUUUGGAGUUUGAGUGUUUGGUGUGGAGGGCUCCAUCCUAACUAACUUUCUUGAUUCUUUUCUUGGUCUUUUCUUUCAAUUUUAUUUUUCUAUGGUGGAGGGUUAAUGCAAUAUUUGUUUUAGCGGUAUCCACAGUUUUUUCAAAGUUAGGGUGGAAGAGGACAGAGUAAGUUUCCUGGGGUUUGGAAGGUGUGGUGUGCGUGAUGGCUUCUCAGCCUAGCGUGGAGGAGAUGCUGUCGAUACGGCAUGGAUUCAGGUGUGUUCCUGAGAAUGGAGUUAAGGUGGAGGAGACGCUGUCGAUACGGCAUGGAUUCAGGUGUGUUCCUGAGAAUGGAGUUAAGGUGGAGGAGACGCUGUCGAUACGGCAUGGAUUCAGGUGUGUUCCUGAGAAUGGAGUUAAGGUGGAGGAGACGCUGUCGAUACGGCAUGGAUUCAGGUGUGUUCCUGAGAAUGGAGUUAAGGUGGAGGAGGUUCUGCUCGCGGUCGGUGAACAGGUAGGAGCUGAAUUUAUACAUUCUGCUUCUAGAAUGAACAAAGCUGUGGUGGUGUUCAUGAAAAGAACAAAUUUGGUUGGUAGGCUAAUUGCUAGUGGAAUAUUUGUAAGGGAUGUGUUGGUGCCAGUUUCACCUCUCUCUACCCCUUCGACAAGAGUGG